rnacentral:rRNA from 1 species
UACAGGGGGUGCAAACGUUGCUCGGAAUUAUUGGGCGUAAAGCGCGCGUAGGCGGCUACUUAAGUCGGAUGUGAAAGCCCUUGGCUCAACUGAGGAAGUGCACCCGAAACUGAGUGGCUUGAGUACUAAAGAGGGUCGCGGAAUUCCCGGUGUAGAGGUGAAAUUCGUAGAUAUCGGGAGGAACACCGGUGGCGAAGGCGGCGACCUGGGUAGAUACUGACGCUGAUGCGCGAAAGCGUGGGGAGCGAUCCGG